AGAGUUUGAUCAUGGCUCAGGAUGAACGCUGGCGGCGUGCCUAAUACAUGCAAGUCGAACGCACAGCGAAAGGUGCUUGCACCUUUCAAGUGAGUGGCGAACGGGUGAGUAACACGUGGACAACCUGCCUCAAGGCUGGGGAUAACAUUUGGAAACAGAUGCUAAUACCGAAUAAAACUCAGUGUCGCAUGACACAAAGUUAAAAGGCGCUUUGGCGUCACCUAGAGAUGGAUCCGCGGUGCAUUAGUUAGUUGGUGGGGUAAAGGCCUACCAAGACAAUGAUGCAUAGCCGAGUUGAGAGACUGAUCGGCCACAUUGGGACUGAGACACGGCCCAAACUCCUACGGGAGGCUGCAGUAGGGAAUCUUCCACAAUGGGCGAAAGCCUGAUGGAGCAACGCCGCGUGUGUGAUGAAGGCUUUCGGGUCGUAAAGCACUGUUGUAUGGGAAGAACAGCUAGAAUAGGGAAUGAUUUUAGUUUGACGGUACCAUACCAGAAAGGGACGGCUAAAUACGUGCCAGCAGCCGCGGUAAUACGUAUGUCCCGAGCGUUAUCCGGAUUUAUUGGGUGUAAAGCGAGCGCAGACGGUUGAUUAAGUCUGAUGUGAAAGCCCGGAG
rnacentral:rRNA from 1 species